UAUGACCAUAUAGCAGUGAAACACAGAUUCCCAUAUGAUCACCAAAGUUAAGCAACAUUGAGCCUGGUCAGUACCUAGAUUGGUGAGCACUUGGGAAUACCAAGAGCUGUAA